rnacentral:SRP_RNA from 1 species
GUCCCAGCUACUUGGGAUGCUGAGAAAGAUCAGCAGGAAGACCUCUUGAGCCCAGAAGCUCUGAGCUGUAGUGUGCUAUGCCAAUUGGGUGCAUACACUAAGUUCAGCAUCGACAUGGUGAUGUUGAGGAGCAAGGGAACACCAGGUUGUCUAAGGAGGGGUGAACUGGCCCAGGUCAGAAACGAAAUAGGUCAAAACUCCUAUGCUGAUCGGUAGUGGGACUGCGCCUGUGAAUAGCCACUGUACUCCAGCCUGGGCAACAUAGUGUGACAUCCUGUUU